rnacentral:rRNA from 1 species
GACGAACGCUGGCGGCGUGCCUAAUACAUGCAAGUAGAACGCACAGUUUAUACCGUAGCUUGCUACACCAUAGACUGUGAGUUGCGAACGGGUGAGUAACGCGUAGGUAACCUGCCUGGUAGCGGGGGAUAACUAUUGGAAACGAUAGCUAAUACCGCAUAAUAUUGAUUAUUGCAUGAUAAUUGAUUGAAAGAUGCUAUUGCAUCACUACCAGAUGGACCUGCGUUGUAUUAGCUAGUAGGUGAGGUAACGGCUCACCUAGGCGACGCUACAUAGCCGACCUGAGAGGGUGAUCGGCCACACUGGGACUGAGACACGGCCCAGACUCCUACGGGAGGCAGCAGUAGGGAAUCUUCGGCAAUGGACGAAAGUCUGACCGAGCAACGCCGCGGGAGUGAAGAAGGUUUUCGGAUCGUAAAGCUCUGUUGUAAGAGAAGAACGGGUGUGAGAGUGGAAAGUUCACACUGUGACGGUAUCUUACCAGAAAGGGACGGCUAACUACGUG